ensembl:lncRNA
GGAAAAGUCUCAGAGGCAAGAAAAGAGGCUCUCAUGUGAAUCCAGGGAUUACUCAGCAAUGCCUGCUGCUGUCUUAAGCAAACACAUUAGUCGGUUGCUUAAAACAGAUGCAGGUCACGUUCCCUGGGCCAACAUGCUCAGACAAGACUGCUGAAUUGCCAUCUGUGCUUAAUCUGUCACUAAAGAGCAAACAAGGGCGUUACAGCUUUUCAAAAGAAAUGCUGACUGGAAGGAACACGUGCAGCAUUAGAAGGCCUGCCAGUCACAUGGCUUUCUUCACUUGUGCCUUCUGUUUCUUUGCUUUGUUAAUUCCUUCUAUAAGGCACAUUAUUCUGACUUUUUACAAGACUGUUCAUCUUGGUAUUUUUUUUAAUUUUUAUUUUUUCCUGGAAGGUAAGGGAGAAAGUUGGAAAGAGUGAAAAAGAGAGAGGGAGAGAAAGAAAUGGAGAGAUGGAGUAUUUCUAAAAUUUUUAUUGUCAAGGAGAAAAACACUGAUAACACACUGAUGUUCAGCAGCAACUAGAAACAGUAUUGUUCAGAGCCAAGGCCAUUCUCAGCAAAGAGCCCAAGGCAAGGAAACUGAAUCAGGACAGCUGAUUUAAACUGGCCAAAGGGAUAUUCCAUACCAUAUGACAUCAAGCAGAAGGAGUUUUGAGGGGAUUGGGAGUUCAUUUGGCUUUCUUCCACUCACUGGGGGGCUAACUGAGCAUCGAUUGAUGGAUGGUAAACAAUUACUUUUGCCUCACUUGUUGUACGUAUUCAUAUGUAUUUAUACUGUCAUAACAUAACAUCCAGGCUGAAUGUGGCUCUGGACAGCCUAGUCUAGUGGUUGGUGACCCUGCACAUAGCAGGGGGGUUGAAACUCGAUGAUCAUUAUGGUUCUUUUCAACCCAGGCCAUUCUAUGACUGAUUCUAUGAACUUUUUUCCUUUAUCUUUGUAAGGAGUCUGACCUCAACUCAUGAGUUCUAUUUUUUUUUUUUUUUUUUUCUGAUUCUCUCCCCUAUCCCACAGGGAAGUGGAGAGAGUGAGCCAGCAACUAUGUGGUGCUCAACCACCUGCUAGGUUAAGCCAAAACACGUAUCUAGCAAUAUCAAGUAAGAGAUCAGUGUCAUUACCAGCUGCCUAUCAGGCAGCUCACUUAUCAUUUGGAAUGUCAGGACUGAAGUGGAGAUGAAAGCUCAGGUUUUACAUGGCUGUUAGCAAAUUAUUCAUGCUUUCCUGAACAAUUUAGUCUCUUUAAGUAUUAAACUACUAAGGCUAUUAAAUUACAGAGAACUCAUCCUAAGGGGACUGUAUUUUAGAUGUCAAAAUAAUAACAUAGUACCUUAGUGCUCAGAUGACAUUUGUUUGCAAAACUGAAGAGACACACUGAAGUUGUAACAUGGUCUUUCAGGCUACCUGAUGUGAAAAAGCUUGGCUGAACAGAGAAGUGUUUCAGUGUGAGGAAUGAAAGCUUGAGUCUGAGAAAAGAUACGAUUCAAAACAAAUGCUUUUUCCAUGAAAGGCCUGCCACUUUGGGGGAAAAUAUCAGUGAACAGCACCAAAAUGCUUCUACUGCCCUGCUCAGCUCUCUGAAUGCACCAGUAACAUGCCAUGCUCAGGGCAGGCAGACAGCCAAGCCACAAGGAAGCUGGCAUGGAGCAGAAGCUAAGCCAGACCAACAAUGGUAGCCAUUUCCUCUUCUGGGCCUGCAUGCUUGGUUUCUGGUACUGCUUCCCCAUGCCCAUGGCCUAUCAACUUCCAGCAGGCAGUGGGAUGGGACCCACAUGGCUGACUGGAAGUUGAGCUCUGCAUGGUCCGAAUGACAGCAGCAAAACUCUGGGGGGCCUGGAGGAAAGUCUGUGUAGUCAUGUACAAGCAAACAUCAAAACACACUUUUAAUUUUGUUAGUGCUUAUUUCCUCUGUGUGACACCUUGCCAGCUCCACAGUCUGGGUUGGGAUUUCUUUUAAGAUUUGCCACACUCAGAAGCAUUUUUAAAGGAUAAGUAGAUAGCUAAAGCUAUAGCUUUAAUUACAUCAUGGAAGAAGUGAUACCAUGCUUGGAUCACAAAUUUGUCAUAUUUACCAUAUCUACCAUAUCUUGUCCCCAAGUCAUGGAAGAUGAGCCAGCAGUCAGGGAGGCCGGUCUGGCUGAACAGAGACCUUUGGCGAGAACUCAAGAGCAAAAGGAAAGUUUAUGGUCUCUGAAAGAGUGGGCAAGCUACUUAUGAUGGUUACAGGUACGUAGUGAAGCUUUUUGAAAAUUUUGUCACAGAUCAAGGCUUUCUGAUUCCAUCUGGCUUGCUGUUGUGUUCUGGUAUGUGCUUUUUUUCAGGUGUAAUGUAAUGGGGGAAAAUUGCUUCUUGUGUUUUUUUGUUGUUGGUAGUUCAGUGGUUUGUAAAUCUAGGUACAGCAAAUAACACUGUUAUCAAUACUAACUCUCAUUAUUAAUGUCAGGUCUUCAGGUGUCCGUAAAUACCAGCUUUUAAGCAUGAAACUGAAACUUUCUGUUAGAAGUAUCGUUUGUGUUUAACUUUUGGCAAAGAUAAAGCAAAUUUGUUCUAUAUUUCUCUAAGAACAAAUAUAUAUAUAUAUACAUAUAUAUAUAUAUGAGAAAGACUCACUUUCCUGCUAAGAAUUGUUAAGAUCUUUUUUUGAUUGCAUGAACUUUAGAGCAGGAACUUGAUGUUGAACUAGAGAGACUUUGUUUUAGGGCAAACCUCUUCUGUUUUGAAUGAAAAAAAAAAAAGACUACUUUUUUCUUCAACUUCGGAAUCUUUAAAGAAACUACAGUUAAGGAGACUUUCAAUUAUACUUACAAUUAUAGGAGACUUUCAAAAGCUUUGCAGCUUAAUUAGCUCAGAAUUCCAGCUGCUCUGAGCACAUGCUCCCUCCAAGCUAUUUUCAGACAUCACCCAUGCACACAUACCAACAGAUAUUCCAAUGGGAGAUUGGAUCCUAAGGGUUCAGAAGGAUUUGGGUGCCUCUGAUUCAUUGCAGGCUGAGCUGGGGCUGAGAUCUAAGGAGGCCUUUCUCCUUCUCUGAAGGAGAAUAUAUUUAAUUUGAACCUGGAGAAGAGAAGUGAUG